CACACGAGGGAGCGAGCGCUGCCCGGAAUUACUGAUCGUAAAGGACAUGUAAGCGCGAUUGCAAGUCGGAUGUGAAAUCAGUGAGAUCAACUCACAGACCGUGUCCGAUACUGCGAGUCUUGAUUACGGGAGAGGAGAGUGCAACUCCCACUGUAGCGGUGGAAUGCGUACAUAUUGGAAGGAACACCUGAGGAGAAGGCGGCUCUCUGGCCUGCUGCUGACGCUGAGGCCCGAAAGCUGGUAGAGCGAACAGGAUAAGAGACCCUGAUAAUCCCAGCCCUAAGCGAUGGGUACUAGGUGUAGGUCCGAAUGUAUCUGUGCCGAAUCCAGCGCAGUAAGUACCCCGCCUGCGGAGUUCGGCCGCAAGGUUGAAACUCCAAGGAAUUUACGGCGACCCGCACAAGCGGCGGAGGAUGUGGUGUAAUUCGAUGCAACCCGAAGAACCUUACCUGGGCCCGACAUGCUAGUGGUAUUGACCCGAAAGGCGAGGGAACUCCCUCUGGCAGUAGUUAGCACCGGUCCGGCAUGGCUGUCGUCAGCUCGUGCCGUGAGGUGGCGGGUUAAUUCCCCCAACGAGCGCAAUCCCUUCCCUUAGUGGCCAGCAAGUCCUUGUGAUGUUGGGCACUCUAAGAGGACUGCCGCUGAUAAGCCGGAGGAAGCUGGGGAGCCGUCAAGUCAUCAUGGUCCUUACGUCCAGGUCUACACUCGUCCUUCAAUGGUCGGCUCAGUGGGUUUGUCACCGCGAGGUGGAGCCAAUCCCCAAAGCUGGUCCCAGUUCGGAUUGCAGUCUGAAACCUGCCUGUAUGAAGGAGGAAUCGGUAGUAAUCGCGGAUCAGCAUUCCGCGGUGAAUACGUUCCCGGGUCU
rnacentral:rRNA from 1 species